UCAGCGCUGGAAAGGCAUCAGAAAAGGAAAUCAUACUUAGUACAACCAGCUGGGAUGUUGUUUAUAGUUCUCUUCUUGGUUUUGACAUUAGCUCCCAUCAGGGAAAGUGGCCCAAAGAGCUGCUAUGAAGUGCCCUGAACCUACAGAGAGCUUGCAACUUGCCUUCUUCCUGAGAAAUGCCUUAGCCAGAGAAGCUAGGAUUUGGAAGGUGCCAGUUUUCCAGAAUCUAACCCUGAAGGUAUCCUCCCCUGUCCCCUUUAGAAUUCCCUGAAGGAACUCUGCAGAGAUGUACUGCUGGUCCUGCCAUCUGACCCCCUGAAUGCAAAGUCAUCCCACAUGGACCAGGCUUAAGGAAUGGAGGAGGAGGAGGGUAAUCCCAUUGGUGCAGACACUGGUGGUGCAGAGCAGCUGUAAAUGCUCUCCAGCCGAGAUCUUGAGAAUGGAAAGAAUUAUCCUGGAUGAGCUUCAGCGGGAUCUUUACACAGCAACACCAAUGGAUUUCUUAAACAUUUCCCAGGCCAUGUGAUGUCCAGCUGGCCCCAUCUCCCCCCAGCUGCCUCAGAGGAAUCCUUCCCUCCACGUCGCGCUCUUCACCAGGCAGCUGCAGCACUGGAUGGCCUCCCACCAGCUCGUGCAGUUCAGGGGCUCCACGCUGGUCUUGGUGAUCAUCACCUUGGAGCUGGACAGGCAGACUCCUGGCUGGCUUUGUGUUACUACUGACCUGCUAAAAAAGCACAGGUGAACAGUGCUGAAUUCAUCCAGAAAGAGCCUGUGGAUCAAGAAGCUAACGUGCCUGCAGCCACCCAAUGCUGUUUGUGUUUUCUGUCCCAUCAGCCAAGCUGU